UGGGUGGAGCAUGUAGGGAGCCUAAGGGU
rnacentral:piRNA from 1 species